rnacentral:lncRNA from 1 species
GAGCGCGCUGUGAUCACCGCUUAGUAUCCUUGGAACAGAGGCGGCGGUGGCGACGCAUACUGCUGCGCCAUGAUUGGUGGCAAGAUGAACUCCUCAGGUGCCGACGGUGGAGGUGAUGAUGGUGCGGGUGGAGGUGGUGAUGGGACGGCUGGUGGAGGUGGCGAGCUCACCGGAGCAGGUGGUGGUGGGGAUUUGACCGGUGGGGGUGGAGAGUUGAUUGGCGCCGGUGGAGGAGGGGACCUCACUGGAGGAGGCGGUGAGCUCGCCAGUGUUGGUGGAGGUGGGGAGGUCAUUGGUGGAAGUGGUGGAGAGCUUACAAGUGGCGGUGGUGGCGGGGGCUUCACCAGUGGAGGUGGAGAUCUUCUCGAAGUUGGUGGUGCAGGUGAUUUGAACUGUGGCGGUGGGGAUUUUGCAAAUGGGGGUGCUGAGCUCACGGGAACUGGCGGGGGAGGUGAGCUAACUGGUGCCGGUGGUGGAAGGAUUUUCACAGGAGGUGAUGGUGAAAUCACAGGAGCCGGUGGAGGAGGUGAUUUUACAGGCGGUGGCGGCGAGCUAACGGGUGCCGUUGGUGGAGGGGAUUUCAUGGGAGACGAUGGUGAAACCAUUGGAGCUAGUGGAGGAGGUAAUUUUACAGGUGGUGGCGGUGAGUUGACUGGAGUAGGUGGUGAAGAGUAUUUCACAGGAGGCGGUGGUGAGCUAACUGGAGCCGGUGGAGGAGGUGAUUUUACAGGUGGUGGUAGUGAGCUGACUGGAGCAGGUGGUGGAGGGGAUUGCGCCAGAGGAGGUGGUGAGCUUACUGGAGCCGGUGGUGGUGAUUUUAUAGGUGGUGGUGGUGAGCUGACUGGAGCAGGCGGUGGAGGGGAUUGCAUCGGAGGAGGAGGUGAGCUUAUUAGAGCUGAUGGAGGAGGUGAGUUUGCUUGUGGUGGGGGUGGCGACCUUAUCGGUGGUGGAGGAGGUGAUGAUUUCGUUAGCGGUGGAGGUGACCUCACCGGCGCUGGUGGCGGCGGCGAACUUAACAGUGGUGAAGGAGGUGGUGAUUUCACUGACGAUGGAGGUGACCUCACCGGCACCGGUGGUGGCGGUGAUUUAAUCAUCGGUGGAGGUGAUGGUGGUGAAGGAGAUUUCACCGUUGGAGGCGGUUCACUCACAUAUGCUGGAGAUGGAGGUGAUUUUACUAGUGGUGGUGAGCUAACCGAAACCGGUGGAGGAGGGAAUUUGGUAGGUGGGGGAGGCGAGCUAAUAGGUGCUGGUGGGGGUGGAGAUUUCAUUGAUGGCGGUGGUGAACUAAUCGGUGAUGGCGGUGGCGGUGGUGGUGACCUCACCGGUACUGGUGGUGGCGGCGAACUUACUGGUGGUGGAGGAGGUGGUGAUUUCACUGGCGCUGGAGGUGACCUUGGUGGCAACGGCGGUGGAGAUUUCACAGAUGGAGGUGGUAAACUCAUAGAUACUGGAGGUGGAGGCGAUUUUAGUAGUGGUGGUGGUGAGCUAACCGGAACCGGUGGAGGAGGAGAUUUGAUAAGUGGGGGAGGCGAGCUAAUAGGUGCUGGUGCUGGUGCGGGUGCGGGUGGAGAUUUCACUGAUGGUGGCGGCGACGGCUGUGGGCUCACUGGCUGUGGUGCUGGGGACUUCUUUGGUGGUUGGUUCUCCGGUGAUGGCGCUGGUGGCAACGGAUGUG